rnacentral:rRNA from 1 species
GAUGAACGCUGGCGGCGUGCCUAAUACAUGCCAGUCGAGCGAACAGACGAGGAGCUUGCUCCUCUGACGUUAGCGGCGGACGGGUGAGUAACACGUGGAUAACCUACCUAUAAGACUGGGAUAACGUCGGGAAACCGGAGCUAAUACCGGAUAAUAUAUUGAACCGCAUGGUUCAAUAGUGAAAGACGGUUUUGCUGUCACUUAUAGAUGGAUCCGCGCCGCAUUAGCUAGUUGGUAAGGUAACGGCUUACCAAGGCAACGAUGCGUAGCCGACCUGAGAGGGUGAUCGGCCCCACUGGAACUGAGACACGGUCCAGACUCCUCCGGGAGGCAGCAGUAGGGAAUCUUCCGCAAUGGGCGAAAGCCUGACGGAGCAACGCCGCGUGAGUGAUGAAGGUCUUCGGAUCGUAAAACUCUGUUCUUAGGGAAGACCAAAUGUGUAAGUAACUAUGCACGUCUUGACGGUACCUAAUCAGAAAGCCACGGCUAACUACGUG